AUUGAACGCUGGCGGCAUGCCUUACACAUGCAAGUCGAACGGUAACGGGCCUUCGGGUGCCGACGAGUGGCGAACGGGUGAGUAAUGCAUCGGAACGUACCUUUCAGGGGGGGAUAACGUAGGGAAAGUUACGCUAAUACCGCAUAUUCUGUGAGCAGGAAAGCAGGGGAUCGCAAGACCUUGCGCUCAUUGACCGGCGCAUGUCAGAUUGGCUAGUUGGUGAGGUAAAGGCUCACCAAGGCGACGAUCUGUAGCGGGUCUGAGAGGAUGAUCCACCACACUGGAACUGAGACACGGUCCAGACUCCUACGGGAGGCAGCAGUGGGGAAUUUUGGACAAUGGGGGCAACCCUGAUCCAGCCAUGCCGCGUGAGUGAAGAAGGCCUUCGGGUUGUAAAGCUCUUUCGGUCGGGAAGAAAUCGCAUGGGUUAAUACCCUGUGCGGAUGACGGUACCGGCAUAAGAAGCACCGGCUAACUACGUGCCAGCAGCCGCCGUAAAAC
rnacentral:rRNA from 1 species